ensembl:lncRNA
GCAGCACAUCCCCUGAACAAUAACGAAGAGGUAACGUUAGGUGAGAAGCCUGACCACGGAGACAGGUGUGAGAAGGUUAUAGCAGUCCCCUAACAAUCACGAAGAGGUAACGUUAGGUGAGAAGCCUGACCACGGAGACAGGUGUGAGAAGGUUACAGCAGCACAUCCCCUGAACGAUAACGAAGAGGUGACGUUAGGUGAGAAGCCUGACCAUGGAGACAGGUGUGAGAAGGUUACAGCAGCACAUCCCCUGAACGAUCAUGAAGAGGUAACGUUAGGUGAGAAGCCUGACCACGGAGACAGGUGUGAGAAGGUUAUAGCAGUCCCCUGAACGAUAACGAAGAGGUGACGUUAGGUGAGAAGCCUGACCACGGAGACGGUGGUGAGAAGGUGAUGAAGCGUACUUCAUGAGCUGUAACCGAAAAGCAACUGGCAUUUGGAAAGUUUGAGGUGAGGGAAAAAGAGAGAAGUGUGAUGGAACAAGUAUUAGCAUUGUUAAGUAUCUUGCUAGCAUGGAUCAAAUUCUCCAUUAGCUAACCAGAGAAAUGUUGAGCAACAUUAGCCAACUUAACAGAUCAAAUAAUUUAG